GGCAAGAUGGCCGAGCGGUCUAAGGCGCCACGUUAAGGUAUUCAACCUUGAUAACACUCCAAUUUCAUACUGGAUUCCGUGGUCCGAAAGGGCGUGGGUUCGAAUCCCACUCUUGUCA